rnacentral:lncRNA from 1 species
UCCUAUAUCAAUGCAUCCAUAUAACAUCAUGCCAAGUAAUGAGUGGUCCAUCGGUGUCAGUCUAGAUUCACAAGAAGAACCAACCUUCAUAUUAUUUUAAGGCAGAGGCAUGCAUUAAAGUUUGCAAAAACAGCUCGCCCAGCUUUUGUCAAGUGCGUGCCACCAUCAAACAUGCAAUUUAUGGGCUAAGAAACCAUCGGUAUCUUGAUGGAUGGCACCUCUAUCGC